GCCGAAGUGGCGGAACUGGUAGACGCGCUAGAUUCAGGGUCUAGUGGGUUCACCCCCGUGCAGGUUCGAGUCCUGUCUUCGGCA
rnacentral:tRNA from 2 species